UGACACUGACUGUGCGAAAUUUGACUCCCACUUCAAUAACAAGCCCUUUCCCCCGUUCAAUGUUGUCUGUAGUAUGUUAUACGUCCAAGGUGUUACACAACAUUGAUAAGGGGGAUAGGGGGUGUUUGGACAUGAAAUUUUGCAUAAAAUUGACAAGUAUUUAUAUGGUAAUCAGACAUGAAGUAAAGGUUAUGCUAUUUCGACUUAGUGCGCCAAGGAUUUUUGACCAGGAUUGUAGAUA
rnacentral:lncRNA from 1 species